rnacentral:rRNA from 1 species
GACGAACGCUGGCGACGUGCUUAACACAUGCAAGUCGAACGGACAGGCCCUGCUUUUGCGGGGUUCUCGAGUGGCGAACGGGUGAGUAACACGUGAGUAACCUGCCCUUGACUUUGGGAUAACUUCAGGCAACUGGGGCUAAUACCGGCUAGGAGCUCCUGCUGCAUGGUGGGGGUUGGACAGCUUCGUCGGUUGGGGAUGGACGGUCGGCUUACUGGCUUGUUGGUUGGGUAGUUGCUUACCCAGCGUUAGACGGGUAGGCGGCCAGGGAGGGGGAUCGGGCACAUGAGGACUGAGAUACGGACCAGAGGCGAACGUGAGGCAGCAGUGGAGAAUAUGGCACAAUGGGCGGAAGCCUGAUGCAGCAACGCCGCGUGCGGGAUGACGGCCUUCGGGUUGGAAACCGCUUUCACGUAAGACGAAGCGUGAGUGACGUUAAUGAGUAAAGAAGCACCGGCUAACUACGUG